rnacentral:rRNA from 1 species
AGAGUUUGAUCCUGGCUCAGGAUGAACGCUAGCGGCAGGCUUAAUACAUGCAAGUCGAGGGGCAUCGCAGUGUAGCAAUACAUGGGCGGCGACCGGCAAACGGGUGCGGAACACGUACGCAACCUUCCUUCAAGUGGGGAAUAGCUUUCGGAAACGAAAAUUAAUACCCCGUAAUACGGUUGAGAUGGCAUCAUCUUAUC